UAAUUUUGAACUUUUUAAUCAAAGUUUCAUCUCAAUUGUUUUUACCCAAAGAGUUCUUGUUUAAAACUAAUGAAAAUAUAUACUGUUUGGCAAAAGAGAAUGCGUUUACGAAAUUGCUUUUGUUUAAAUAAUUUCCACCUUUUGGCUUGACUAAAAUCUAAUAUUGCCUCCAAAAAGUAAUAAAAAACUUGGAAAUUGUGCCAUAUAUUAAGAUUAAAAAAGAAAUAUUUUGUGUAUACAGAAAAUACAAAAUCCAUAUGGAUAUAAAAUAAUUGAUCAUCAUUUCAGUGUACGAAUAACUUAUUCGGAUUUUAUUUACUGGCGUUUUAAUGGGUAAAUACUUAUUUAUAGUGUGUUCAUUUGAUAGUAUUGUAGAACGGAGAUGAUUGUUUGUUUGGUUUGCGUUAAAUAUGACCACUUAACUUAGGGUUCUAAUCGAAAUCCCACUAUAUAAAAGCUACUAAUUUUAGAUGUUAUAAAGGAUGCCACAUAGGCAAAAUAUUCUCAGCCAUUCAUUCUGCCAUGUCACUGGUAACCCAGACCAACAAAUCGUAAUUGCAGCCCAGCCCGUUAACCGGUUUCGCUCACGAAAUUGCUGUCUCCGUCUCUUUGCUGUUGGGCCAGAUUAAAAAAUUUUCCAGCCCAUCCCAUUACUUAUUUCAACUUUCAAACUAUUUUCUUUUGCAUUUUCUAUUAUUUCAGACAAUUUUUUAUUUCAGCUGUUUUCUAUAACAAUGUGCAAACCGCCUAAGUUCCCUUUGAUCUUAAAAUAGUACGCCCAAGAUAACAAAACCCCCUCAUUUCACACACAGUCCCUGUAAAUUUCUAUAAAAAACUAAAUUCUACUAUCAAACCCACCCAACAAAUUUACUACUACCACCUAUAAUUAUGGCCCGGCCUACUUAAACUUUAAAAAAAAACAUGACAAUACUUAAAAAAAACACACCCUAACUAUGUUCACUUCAAAAAAAAAAAAUUAAACAAAAUUGCCAAAAAAAUACUAAUUCUCAUUCUUAUCUAUGUAGCACAUGCACCACAAGAUCAAAGCAAUUAGGACAACACCCUCGAACCUCAUCCAAUAAUCGUUAGGAUCCUUAGGGUCUGGCCCAUCACAAAUCACAAAAAUAAAGAUGCUUUCCUAGGGACAACUUUCAUAUGUCUUGACAUCCAGGUUUGUCUAAAAUUCAUAUUUUUAAUUAUUCCAACUAUAUUUCAAAUGAUUGCUUCUAACCACUAAACAGGAACAAAAAAUGGAGGGGAAGGUACCUAUUUCUACGUCUGACACAAUGUACCAACGCUUCGAAGAAGGAAAAAUUUAUCACAUUAGAUAUUUUAAUCUCCUCCCCAAUAACCAACGUUACAGGCUUACCGAUCAACCAUACAUAAUCAAUAUCAAAGAAACAACAACAAUUACACUGAUUCAAGAAAACAUUGCACCGAUUCCUUCAUACAUAUUCCGGCCACAACGCUACACCCAGUUGAUCAGCUUAGCAAGUGAAACCAACUUCCUACCAGGUAAAAAAAAAACAAAAACUCUCUCACACAAAAAUAAAUCCUAAUUUUUUUCCAAACAACCAAAUUAUUCCUACAGAUGUUGUUGGCCGCAUUUGCCUCAUCCAAGGAAGUGAUUUAUAUAACCACUACACAGAUUCAAAAAUCAUCAUUGGAUUACGUUUAGACAGAUCGAAAUUGGUACGUCUAACUUUAUGGGACAAGGAGGCAUCUAAUUUCAGAGAGUUAAAUCGCAUAUCAACAAGGAAAAAACAAGUCGUAAUCAUCACAAGUAUCAUUCCACGGAUACAUGAAGGUAAUAAACUAAACAUAAACUUUACAAAAAACUAAAUGCUAACAAAUAUUUGCCUUUUUCAGAAAAACUAUCACUCACAGCAACACCUGGAACGCGCUUCUACUUUAACAACGAAAUUGAUAUCAUUCAACGCUUCUAAAAGAGGAAUAAACUGCUAUCCUAAGCCUCAUAGCAAACACCACCAGUCAACUUUUAAAACAUUUACGUUACCACUUCCUACAUCAAUUAAAUUGUCACACACAAAGAUUAUUUUCUCAUUCAAAUAUCGAAUUCCUCAAAACUAUUUAUUAUUCAUACUUACAGUUGUUUUUUUUAAAAAAAUGAUCACCGUUUCGAACUUCUCCCCUGUAUAAAAAAACAAAACUUAACUUAUCAUUUCAGAAACCAAAAAACA